GGCGGAAUUGGUAGACGCGCUAGCUUCAGGUGUUAGUGUCCUUCGGACGUGAGGGUUCAAGUCCCUCC
rnacentral:tRNA from 1 species